CCUACGGGAGGCAGCAGUGAGGAAUAUUGGUCAAUGGACGCAAGUCUGAACCAGCCAUGCCGCGUGCAGGAAGACGGCUCUAUGAGUUGUAAACUGCUUUUGUACGAGGGUAAACGCAGAUCCGUGUAUCUGUCUGAAAGUAUCGUACGAAUAAGGAUCGGCUAACUCCGUGCCAGCAGCCGCGGUAAUACGGAGGAUUCAAGCGUUAUCCGGAUUUAUUGGGUUUAAAGGGUGCGUAGGCGGUCGGAUAAGUUAGAGGUGAAAUCCCGAGGCUCAACUUCGGAAUUGACUCUGAGACUGUUCGGCUAGAGAGUAGUUGCGGUAGGCGGAAUGUAUGGUGUAGCGGGGAAAUGCUUAGAGAUCAUACAGAACACCGAUUGCGAAGGCAGCUUACCAAGCUACUUCUGACGUUGAGGCACGAAAGCGUGGGGAGCAAACAGGAUUAGAUACCCUUGUAGUC
rnacentral:rRNA from 1 species